GUCUCUUCCUGUCAACGACACAUGUAGAAGGAGCAGAGUUGAGGACGGCAGCGGUCUUAUUUAGCAGGCUCUCGGCUCUUUCUGAGGACAUUUCGGCGUGUGUAUUCGUCAUGGACUCGCUCGGCUCGCGCUAAAGCGGGGACCUCGCGGUGGAAAUACGCUCUGAAGAGUCUCUAUUCGGCGCUCCGUCCUGACGGAGCCGCGUUGUGUUUGUUUUCUUCACCUGCACUUUUCUGGGACCGAGUCGCCGUUUGGUUCCGUGUCAGUUCACAGACACAGAGGGACAAUGGUGAAUCCUGGAGGCAGCAACCAGCCACCACCAGUGAGCACAGCUUCGCUGUCCUGGAAGCGAUGUGCAGGAUGCGGAGGUAAAAUCGCAGACCGCUUCCUCCUUUACACCAUGGACAGCUACUGGCACAGCCGAUGUCUCAAGUGCUCAUGCUGCCAGGCCCAACUGGGUGAAAUAGGCACAUCGUGCUACACAAAAAGUGGCAUGAUCCUUUGUCGAACUGACUAUAUCAGAUUAUUUGGAAACAGUGGCGCCUGCAGUGCUUGCGGUCAGUCCAUUCCAGCUAGCGAACUGGUGAUGAGGGCGCAGGGCAAUGUGUACCAUCUGAAGUGUUUCACAUGUUCCACUUGCCGCAACAGACUUGUUCCUGGGGAUCGGUUCCACUACAUCAACGGCAGCCUGUUCUGUGAACACGACAGACCCACAGCGCUCAUCAAUGGCCAUUUGAGUUCACUGCAGACAAACUCACUACUGCCUGACCAGAAGCAGCACAAAGGUGAAUACACAGACUGGUUCAGAUGAAGAGAACGAUGGUUUGCCCAAGAGCAGCACGCAGUGUUCAAACCCAAACACAAGGUGUGCUAGGUGGAAGCUAUGCAGGAUGUGUGCCUUCAUUUUAGCCCUUACUCAUCAUCACCUGAAACUGAGCGGAUCAGCAGCUCAGCCGCUUAGCGUUGCUCCCAGGAACCCUCACCCGUUUCCCCUGUAACAUGAUUUUUGCAGCCCAUGCCCAACGCUCAGCCCACAACCACGACUUUCCCCUAACAAGAGAGGAUACUUGCACUUAAUGCACCUGAUUUGAGAUGCUGAGGACUUGGUGACCUUGGAAUUAAAGGAGACUGAUCAGAAUCUGAGAGACUCUUCAAGAAGAGAAAAUGAAAUGAUGUUGCAACUGAAGCGAGACGAAUGGUAAAAUAUAAAUGAGGUCGAGGAAAUACGGUCUACUUUUCUUUGGUUAAAGACAUUUUGGGGAAACUGGGAACCUUUUUAAUUUUCUGUCUUUCUUUAGUAUCCUCAUUUCCCAGCAACACAGUGUUCCCACUUUCUAUAUUUUAAGUGUUGUUGAAGGGAAAUACUCUUCCCCUCCCUCCUUUGGUGGUAUAUUAAAAAUGGGGAUUUAAAAAGAAAUUGUGGCUUUUUGUGGAAAACAAAUCAUGAACACUCUUGGUGUAUUUGUAAAACUACCAUGUAUGUACAGUAUGCAUGUGAAUGUCGUCCAGGUGUGGCUACCGUACGUUGGACCCUCCGCACUCUGCUCCGGUCCUUUCUCCUCCCCUUUUCAAACCAGUUCAUGCUAAACAGAAGAAUUUUGCUUAUAGUCAGUAAUGUAGAGCUCAUCACCAACAUGUAAAUGCUGAAUGAAAGAGAAAUUUAUUUGUGAUAUUUUCCAAGACAUUUGCUCCAGUAUGGUGUAUUUAAUUAAUAAAAAUAUUGAAGAUUUAAAA